rnacentral:rRNA from 1 species
AUUGAACGCUGGCGGCAGGCCUAACACAUGCAAGUCGAGCGGAUCAAGGGAGCUUGCUCCUGGAUUCAGCGGCGGACGGGUGAGUAAUGCCUAGGAAUCUGCCUGGUAGUGGGGGAUAACGUCCGGAAACGGGCGCUAAUACCGCAUACGUCCUGAGGGAGAAAGUGGGGGAUCUUCGGACCUCACGCUAUCAGAUGGGCCUAGGUCGGAUUAGCUAGUUGGUGGGGUAAAGGCCUACCAAGGCGACGAUCCGUAACUGGUCUGAGAGGAUGAUCAGUCACACUGGAACUGAGACACGGUCCAGACUCCUACGGGAGGCAGCAGUGGGGAAUAUUGGACAAUGGGCGAAAGCCUGAUCCAGCCAUGCCGCGUGUGUGAAGAAGGUCUUCGGAUUGUAAAGCACUUUAAGUUGGGAGGAAGGGCAGUAAGUUAAUACCUUGCUGUUUUGACGUUACCAACAGAAUAAGCACCGGCUAACUUCGUG